rnacentral:rRNA from 1 species
AGUGAACGCUGGCGGUAGGCCUAACACAUGCAAGUCGAACGGCAGCACAGGAGAGCUUGCUCUCUGGGUGGCGAGUGGCGGACGGGUGAGGAAUACAUCGGAAUCUACUCUGUCGUGGGGGAUAACGUAGGGAAACUUACGCUAAUACCGCAUACGACCUACGGGUGAAAGCAGGGGACCUUCGGGCCUUGCGCGAUUGAAUGAGCCGAUGUCGGAUUAGCUAGUUGGCGGGGUAAAGGCCCACCAAGGCGACGAUCCGUAGCUGGUCUGAGAGGAUGAUCAGCCACACGGGAACUGAGACACGGUCCAGACUCCUACGGGAGGCAGCAGUGGGGAAUAUUGGACAAUGGGCGCAAGCCUGAUCCAGCCAUACCGCGUGGGUGAAGAAGGCCUUCGGGUUGUAAAGCCCUUUUGUUGGGAAAGAAAUCCAGCUGGUUAAUACCCGGUUGGGAUGACGGUACCCAAAGAACAAGCACCGGCUAACUUCGUGCCAGCCGCCGCAGUAA